rnacentral:rRNA from 1 species
CCUACGGGUGGCUGCAGUGGGGAAUAUUGGACAAUGGGGGCAACCCUGAUCCAGCCAUGCCGCGUGUGUGAAGAAGGCCCUCGGGUUGUAAAGCACUUUCAGUGAGGAAGAACGCCUGGUGGUUAAUACCCAUCAGGAAAGACAUCACUCACAGAAGAAGCGCCGGCUAACUCCGUGCCAGCAGCCGCGGUAAUACGGAGGGUGCGAGCGUUAAUCGGAAUUACUGGGCGUAAAGCGCGCGUAGGUGGCUUGAUAAGCCGGUUGUGAAAGCCCCGGGCUCAACCUGGGAACGGCAUCCGGAACUGUCAAGCUAGAGUGCAGGAGAGGAAGGUAGAAUUCCCGGUGUAGCGGUGAAAUGCGUAGAGAUCGGGAGGAAUACCAGUGGCGAAGGCGGCCUUCUGGACUGACACUGACACUGAGGUGCGAAAGCGUGGGUAGCAAACAGGAUUAGAUACCCCUGUAGUC